AUCCAGCCGACGAGUCCCAAAAAUAGGACGAAACGCACGUGCUGGAU
rnacentral:hammerhead_ribozyme from 1 species